CUCCAGGCUCUUCUCAGAGCCACGACAGGCUUGGAGGGAAGUAGCCU
rfam:Pan troglodytes isolate Yerkes chimp pedigree #C0471 (Clint) chromosome 6, whole genome shotgun sequence.